UAGGGUUGGAGUUAGGGUUAGUGUUGGACCUAGGGUUAGGGUUGGGCUUGGAGCUAGGAUUUUUCUGAGUGCAAUGAACCAACUCCCGAGUCUCUAGGACGUUCCUAAACAAAUUUGAUUUUUUCCCAUAGGAAUGCAUGGGUUAGGGUUAGGGUUAGGGUUGGAGCUAGGGUUAGGGUUAGGGUUAGGGUUGGAGUUAGGGUUAGUGUUGGAGCUAGGGUUAGGGUUGGGCUUGGAGCUAGGAUUUUUCUGAGUGCAAUGAACCAACUCCCGAGUCUCUAGGACGUUCCUAAAAAAUUUGAUUUUUUCCCAUAGGAAUGCAUGGGUUAGGGUUAGGGUUAGGGUUGGAGCUAGGGUUAGGGUUAGGGUUAGGGUUGGAGUUAAGGUUAGUGUUGGAGCUAGGGUUAGGGUUGGGCUUGGAGCUAGGAUUUUUCUGAGUGCAAUGAACCAACUCCCGAGUCUCUAGGACGUUCCUAAAAAAAAUUGAUUUUUUCCCAUAGGAAUGCAUGGGUUAGGGUUAUGGUUAGGGUUAGGGUUGGAGCUAGGGUUAGGGUUAGGGUUAGGGUUGGAGUUAGGGUUAGUGUUGGAGCUAGGGUUAGGGUUGGGCUUGGAGCUAGGAUUUUUCUGAGUGCAAUGAACCAACCCCCGAGUCUCUAGGACGUUCCUAAAAAAAUUUGAUUUUUUCCCAUAGGAAUGCAUGGGUUAGGGUUAUGGUUAGGGUUAGGGUUGGAGCUAGGGUUAGGGUUAGGGUUAGGGUUGGAGUUAGGGUUAGUGUUGGAGCUAGGGUUAGGGUUGGGCUUGGAGCUAGGAUUUUUCUGAGUGCAAUGAACCAACUCCCGAGUCUCUAGGACGUUCCUAAAAAAAUUUGAUUUUUUUCCCCNNNNNNNNNNNNNNNNNNNNNNNNNNNNNNNNNNNNNNNNNNNNNNNNNNNNNNNNNNNNNNNNNNNNNNNNNNNNNNNNNNNNNNNNNNNNNNNNNNNNNNNNNNNNNNNNNNNNNNNNNNNNNNNNNNNNNNNNNNNNNNNNNNNNNNNNNNNNNNNNNNNNNNNNNNNNNNNNNNNNNNNNNNNNNNNNNNNNNNNNGUCUCUGAGGACAUUCCUAAAAAAAAUUUGAUUUUUCCCAUAGGAAUGCAUGGAGUUGGGGUUAGGGUUAGGGUUGGAGCUAGGGUUAGGGUUAGGGUUGGGGUUGGAGUUAGGGUUAGUGUUGGAGCUAGGGUUAGGGUUGGGCUUGGAGCUAGGAUUUUUCUGAGUGCAAUGAACCAACUCCCGAGUCUCUAGGACGUUCCUAAAAAAAUUUGAUUUUUUCCCAUAGGAAUGCAUGGGUUAGGGUUAGGGUUAGGGUUGGAGCUAGGGUUAGGGUUAGGGUUAGGGUUGGAGUUAGGGUUAGUGUUGGAGCUAGGGUUAGGGUUGGGCUUGGAGCUAGGAUUUUUCUGAGUGCACUGAACCAACUCCCGAGUCUCUAGGACGUUCCUAAAAAAAUUUGAUUUUUUUCCCAUAGGAAUGCAUGGGUUAGGGUUAUGGUUAGGGUUGGAGCUAGGGUUAGGGUUAGGGUUAGGGUUGGAGUUAGGGUUAGUGUUGGAGCUAGGGUUAGGGUUGGGCUUGGAGCUAGGAUUUUUCUGAGUGCACUGAACCAACUCCCGAGUCUCUAGGACGUUCCUAAAAAAAUUUGAUUUUUUCCCAUAGGAAUGCAUGGGUUAGGGUUAGGGUUAGGGUUGGAGCUAGGGUUAGGGUUAGGGUUAGGGUUGGAGUUAGGGUUAGUGUUGGAGCUAGGGUUAGGGUUGGGCUUGGAGCUAGGAUUUUUCUGAGUGCACUGAACCAACUCCCGAGUCUCUAGGACGUUCCUAAAAAAAAAUUUGAUUUUUUCCCAUAGGAAAUGCAUGGGUUAGGGUUAGGGUUAGGGUUGGAGCUAGGGUUAGGGUUAGGGUUAGGGUUGGAGUUAGGGUUAGUGUUGGAGCUAGGGUUAGGGUUGGGCUUGGAGCUAGGAUUUUUCUGAGUGCACUGAACCAACUCCCGAGUCUCUAGGACAUUCCUAAAAAAAUUUGAUUUUUUCCCAUAGGAAUGCAUGGGUUAGGGUUAUGGUUGGGGUUAGGGUUGGAGCUAGGGUUAGGGUUAGGGUUAGGGUUGGAGUUAGGGUUAGUGUUGGAGCUAGGGUUAGGGUUGGGCUUGGAGCUAGGAUUUUUCUGAGUGCACUGAACCAACUCCCGAGUCUCUAGGACAUUCCUAAAAAAAAUUGAUUUUUUCCCAUAGGAAUGCAUGGGUUAGGGUUAUGGUUAGGGUUAGGGUUGGAGCUAGGGUUAGGGUUAGGGUUAGGGUUGGAGUUAGGGUUAGUGUUGGAGCUAGGGUUAGGGUUGGGCUUGGAGCUAGGAUUUUUCUGAGUGCACUGAACCAACUCCCGAGUCUCUAGGACAUUCCUAAAAAAAUUUGAUUUUUCCCAUAGGAAUGCAUGGGUUAGGGUUAGGGUUAGGGUUGGAGCUAGGGUUAGGGUUAGGGUUAGGGUUGGAGUUAGGGUUAGUGUUGGAGCUAGGGUUAGGGUUGGGCUUGGAGCUAGGAUUUUUCUGAGUGCACUGAACCAACUCCCGAGUCUCUAGGACAUUCCUAAAAAAAUUUGAUUUUUUCCCAUAGGAAUGCAUGGGUUAGGGUUAGGGUUAGGGUUGGAGCUAGGGUUAGGGUUAGGGUUAGGGUUGGAGUUAGGGUUAGUGUUGGAGCUAGGGUUAGGGUUGGGCUUGGAGCUAGGAUUUUUCUGAGUGCACUGAACCAACUCCCGAGUCUCUAGGACAUUCCUAAAAAAAUUUGAUUUUUCCCAUAGGAAUGCAUGGGUUAGGGUUAUGGUUAGUUAGGGUUGGAGCUAGGGUUAGGGUUAGGGUUAGGGUUGGAGUUAGGGUUAGUGUUGGAGCUAGGGUUAGGGUUGGGCUUGGAGCUAGGAUUUUUCUGAGUGCAAUGAACCAACUCCCGAGUCUCUAGGACGUUCCUAAAAAAAUUUGAUUUUUUUCCCAUAGGAAUGCAUGGGUUAGGGUUAGGGUUAGGGUUAGGGUUGGAGCUAGGGUUAGGGUUAGGGUUAGGGUUGGAGUUAGGGUUAGUGUUGGAGCUAGGGUUAGGGUUGGGCUUGGAGCUAGGAUUUUUCUGAGUGCAAUGAACCAACUCCCGAGUCUCUAGGACGUUCCUAAAAAAAUUUGAUUUUUUCCCAUAGGAAUGCAUGGGUUAGGGUUAUGGUUAGGGUUAGGGUUGGAGCUAGGGUUAGGGUUAGGGUUAGGGUUGGAGUUAGGGUUAGUGUUGGAGCUAGGGUUAGGGUUGGGCUUGGAGCUAGGAUUUUCUGAGUGCAAUGAACCAACUCCCGAGUCUCUAGGACGUUCCUAAAAAAAUUUGAUUUUUUCCCAUAGGAAUGCAUGGGUUAGGGUUAGGGUUAGGGUUGGAGCUAGGGUUAGGGUUAGGGUUAGGGUUGGAGUUAGGGUUAGUGUUGGAGCUAGGGUUAGGGUUGGGCUUGGAGCUAGGAUUUUUCUGAGUGCAAUGAACCAACUCCCGAGUCUCUAGGACGUUCCUAAAAAAUUUGAUUUUUUCCCAUAGGAAUGCAUGGGUUAGGGUUAGGGUUAGGGUUAGGGUUGGAGCUAGGGUUAGGGUUAGGGUUAGGGUUGGAGUUAGGGUUAGUGUUGGAGCUAGGGUUAGGGUUGGGCUUGGAGCUAGGAUUUUCUGAGUGCACUGAACCAACUCCCGAGUCUCUAGGACAUUCCUAAAAAAAUUUGAUUUUUUCCCAUAGGAAUGCAUGGGUUAGGGUUAGGGUUAGGGUUAGGGUUGGAGCUAGGGUUAGGGUUAGGGUUAGGGUUGGAGUUAGGGUUAGUGUUGGAGCUAGGGUUAGGGUUGGGCUUGGAGCUAGGAUUUUUCUGAGUGCACUGAACCAACUCCCGAGUCUCUAGGACAUUCCUAAAAAAAUUUGAUUUUUCCCAUAGGAAUGCAUGGGUUAGGGUUAGGGUUAGGGUUGGAGCUAGGGUUAGGGUUAGGGUUGGAGUUAGGGUUAGUGUUGGAGCUAGGGUUAGGGUUGGGCUUGGAGCUAGGAUUUUUCUGAGUGCAAUGAACCAACUCCCGAGUCUCUAGGACGUUCCUAAAAAAUUUGAUUUUUUCCCAUAGGAAUGCAUGGGUUAGGGUUAGGGUUAGGGUUGGAGCUAGGGUUAGGGUUAGGGUUAGGGUUGGAGUUAGGGUUAGUGUUGGAGCUAGGGUUAGGGUUGGGCUUGGAGCUAGGAUUUUUCUGAGUGCACUGAACCAACUCCCGAGUCUCUAGGACGUUCCUAAAAAAAUUUGAUUUUUUCCCAUAGGAAUGCAUGGGUUAGGGUUAGGGUUAGGGUUAGGGUUGGAGCUAGGGUUAGGGUUAGGGUUAGGGUUGGAGUUAGGGUUAGUGUUGGAGCUAGGGUUAGGGUUGGGCUUGGAGCUAGGAUUUUUCUGAGUGCACUGAACCAACUCCCGAGUCUCUCUAGGAGGCGUUCCUAAAAAAUUUGAUUUUUUCCCAUAGGAAUGCAUGGGUUAGGGUUAGGGUUAGGGUUAGGGUUGGAGCUAGGGUUAGGGUUAGGGUUAGGGUUGGAGUUAGGGUUAGUGUUGGAGCUAGGGUUAGGGUUGGGCUUGGAGCUAGGAUUUUUCUGAGUGCAAUGAACCAACUCCCGAGUCUCUUGGACGUUCCUAAAAAAAUUUGAUUUUUUUCCCAUAGGAAUGCAUGGGUUAGGGUUAGGGUUAGGGUUGGAGCUAGGGUUAGGGUUAGGGUUAGGGUUGGAGUUAGGGUUAGUGUUGGAGCUAGGGUUAGGGUUGGGCUUGGAGCUAGGAUUUUUCUGAGUGCACUGAACCAACUCCCGAGUCUCUAGGACAUUCCUAAAAAAAUUUGAUUUUUUCCCAUAGGAAUGCAUGGGUUAGGGUUAGGGUUAGGGUUGGAGCUAGGGUUAGGGUUAGGGUUAGGGUUGGAGUUAGGGUUAGUGUUGGAGCUAGGGUUAGGGUUGGGCUUGGAGCUAGGAUUUUUCUGAGUGCACUGAACCAACUCCCGAGUCUCUAGGACAUUCCUAAAAAAAUUUGAUUUUUUCCCAUAGGAAUGCAUGGGUUAGGGUUAUGGUUAGGGUUAGGGUUGGAGCUAGGGUUAGGGUUAGGGUUAGGGUUGGAGUUAGGGUUAGUGUUGGAGCUAGGGUUAGGGUUGGGCUUGGAGCUAGGAUUUUUCUGAGUGCACUGAACCAACUCCCGAGUCUCUAGGACGUUCCUAAAAAAUUUGAUUUUUUCCCAUAGGAAUGCAUGGGUUAGGGUUAUGGUUAGGGUUAGGGUUGGAGCUAGGGUUAGGGUUAGGGUUAGGGUUGGAGUUAGGGUUAGUGUUGGAGCUAGGGUUAGGGUUGGGCUUGGAGCUAGGAUUUUUCUGAGUGCACUGAACCAACUCCCGAGUCUCUAGGACAUUCCUAAAAAAAUUUGAUUUUUUUCCCAUAGGAAUGCAUGGGUUAGGGUUAGGGUUAGGGUUGGAGCUAGGGUUAGGGUUAGGGUUAGGGUUGGAGUUAGGGUUAGUGUUGGAGCUAGGGUUAGGGUUGGGCUUGGAGCUAGGAUUUUUCUGAGUGCACUGAACCAACUCCCGAGUCUCUAGGACAUUCCUAAAAAAAAAUUUGAUUUUUUCCCAUAGGAAUGCAUGGGUUAGGGUUAUGGUUAGGGUUAGGGUUGGAGCUAGGGUUAGGGUUAGGGUUAGGGUUGGAGUUAGGGUUAGUGUUGGAGCUAGGGUUAGGGUUGGGCUUGGAGCUAGGAUUUUUCUGAGUGCACUGAACCAACUCCCGAGUCUCUAGGACAUUCCUAAAAAAAAAUUGAUUUUUUCCCAUAGGAAUGCAUGGGUUAGGGUUAUGGUUAGGGUUAGGGUUGGAGCUAGGGUUAGGGUUAGGGUUAGGGUUGGAGUUAGGGUUAGUGUUGGAGCUAGGGUUAGGGUUGGGCUUGGAGCUAGGAUUUUUCUGAGUGCAAUGAACCAACUCCCGAGUCUCUAGGACAUUCCUAAAAAAAUUUGAUUUUUUCCCAUAGGAAUGCAUGGGUUAGGGUUAGGGUUAGGGUUGGAGCUAGGGUUAGGGUUAGGGUUGGGUUGGAGUUAGGGUUAGUGUUGGAGCUAGGGUUAGGGUUGGGCUUGGAGCUAGGAUUUUUCUGAGUGCAAUGAACCAACUCCCGAGUCUCUAGGACAUUCCUAAAAAAAUUUGAUUUUUUCCCAUAGGAAUGCAUGGGUUAGGGUUAGGGUUAGGGUUGGAGCUAGGGUUAGGGUUAGGGUUAGGGUUGGAGUUAGGGUUAGUGUUGGAGCUAGGGUUAGGGUUGGGCUUGGAGCUAGGAUUUUUCUGAGUGCAAUGAACCAACUCCCGAGUCUCUAGGACAUUCCUAAAAAAAAAUUUGAUUUUUUCCCAUAGGAAUGCAUGGGUUAGGGUUAUGGUUAGGGUUAGGGUUGGAGCUAGGGUUAGGGUUAGGGUUAGGGUUGGAGUUAGGGUUAGUGUUGGAGCUAGGGUUAGGGUUGGGCUUGGAGCUAGGAUUUUUCUGAGUGCAAUGAACCAACUCCCGAGUCUCUAGGACGUUCUAAAAAAAAUUUGAUUUUUUCCCAUAGGAAUGCAUGGGUUAGGGUUAUGGUUAGGGUUAGGGUUGGAGCUAGGGUUAGGGUUAGGGUUAGGGUUGGAGUUAGGGUUAGUGUUGGAGCUAGGGUUAGGGUUGGGCUUGGAGCUAGGAUUUUUCUGAGUGCAAUGAACCAACUCCCGAGUCUCUAGGACGUUCCUAAAAAAAUUUGAUUUUUUCCCAUAGGAAUGCAUGGGUUAGGGUUAGGGUUAGGGUUGGAGCUAGGGUUAGGGUUAGGGUUAGGGUUGGAGUUAGGGUUAGUGUUGGAGCUAGGGUUAGGGUUGGGCUUGGAGCUAGGAUUUUUCUGAGUGCAAUGAACCAACUCCCGAGUCUCUAGGACGUUCCUAAAAAAAAAUUUGAUUUUUUCCCAUAGGAAUGCAUGGGUUAGGGUUAGGGUUAGGGUUGGAGCUAGGGUUAGGGUUAGGGUUAGGGUUGGAGUUAGGGUUAGUGUUGGAGCCAGGGUUAGGGUUGGGCUUGGAGCUAGGAUUUUUCUGAGUGCACUGAACCAACUCCCGAGUCUCUAGGACAUUCCUAAAAAAUUUGAUUUUUUUCCCAUAGGAAUGCAUGGGUUAGGGUUAGUGGUUAGGGUUAGGGUUGGAGCUAGGGUUAGGGUUAGGGUUAGGGUUGGAGUUAGGGUUAGUGUUGGAGCUAGGGUUAGGGUUGGGCUUGGAGCUAGGAUUUUUCUGAGUGCAAUGAACCAACCCCCGAGUCUCUAGGACGUUCCUAAAAAAAUUUGAUUUUUUCCCUAUAGGAAUGCAUGGGUUAGGGUUAGGGUUAGGGUUGGAGCUAGGGUUAGGGUUAGGGUUAGGGUUGGAGUUAGGGUUAGUGUUGGAGCUAGGGUUAGGGUUGGGCUUGGAGCUAGGAUUUUUCUGAGUGCAAUGAACCAACUCCCGAGUCUCUAGGACGUUCCUAAAAAAAUUUGAUUUUUUCCCAUAGGAAUGCAUGGGUUAGGGUUAGGGUUAGGGUUGGAGCUAGGGUUAGGGUUAGGGUUAGGGUUGGAGUUAGGGUUAGUGUUGGAGCUAGGGUUAGGGUUGGGCUUGGAGCUAGGUUUUUCUGAGGGUGCACUGAACCAACUCCCGAGUCUCUAGGACAUUCCUAAAAAAAUUUGAUUUUUUCCCAUAGGAAUGCAUGGGUUAGGGUUAUGGUUAGGGUUGGAGCUAGGGUUAGGGUUAGGGUUAGGGUUGGAGUUAGGGUUAGUGUUGGAGCUAGGGUUAGGGUUGGGCUUGGAGCUAGGAUUUUUCUGAGUGCACUGAACCAACUCCCGAGUCUCUAGGACAUUCCUAAAAAAAUUUGAUUUUUUCCCAUAGGAAUGCAUGGGUUAGGGUUAGGGUUAGGGUUGGAGCUAGGGUUAGGGUUAGGGUUAGGGUUGGAGUUAGGGUUAGUGUUGGAGCUAGGGUUAGGGUUGGGCUUGGAGCUAGGAUUUUUCUGAGUGCACUGAACCAACUCCCGAGUCUCUAGGACAUUCCUAAAAAAAUUUGAUUUUUCCCAUAGGAAUGCAUGGGUUAGGGUUAUGGUUAGGGUUAGGGUUGGAGCUAGGGUUAGGGUUAGGGUUAGGGUUGGAGUUAGGGUUAGUGUUGGAGCUAGGGUUAGGGUUGGGCUUGGAGCUAGGAUUUUUCUGAGUGCACUGAACCAACUCCCGAGUCUCUAGGACAUUCCUAAAAAAAUUUGAUUUUUUUCCCAUAGGAAUGCAUGGGUUAGGGUUAGGGUUAUGGUUAGGGUUAGGGUUAGGGUUAGGGUUAGGGUUGGAGUUAGGGUUAGUGUUGGAGCUAGGGUUAGGGUUGGGCUUGGAGCUAGGAUUUUUCUGAGUGCACUGAACCAACUCCCGGGUCUCUAGGACAUUCCUAAAAAAAUUUGAUUUUUUCCCAUAGGAAUGCAUGGGUUAGGGUUAGGGUUAGGGUUGGAGCUAGGGUUAGGGUUAGGGUUAGGGUUGGAGUUAGGGUUAGUGUUGGAGCUAGGGUUAGGGUUGGGCUUGGAGCUAGGAUUUUUCUGAGUGCAAUGAACCAACUCCCGAGUCUCUAGGACAUUCCUAAAAAAAUUUGAUUUUUUCCCAUAGGAAUGCAUGGGUUAGGGUUAGGGUUAGGGUUGGAGCUAGGGUUAGGGUUAGGGUUAGGGUUGGAGUUAGGGUUAGUGUUGGAGCUAGGGUUAGGGUUGGGCUUGGAGCUAGGAUUUUUCUGAGUGCACUGAACCAACUCCCGAGUCUCUAGGACAUUCCUAAAAAAAUUUGAUUUUUUUCCCAUAGGAAUGCAUGGGUUAGGGUUAUGGUUAGGGUUAGGGUUGGAGCUAGGGUUAGGGUUAGGGUUAGGGUUGGAGUUAGGGUUAGUGUUGGAGCUAGGGUUAGGGUUGGGCUUGGAGCUAGGAUUUUUCUGAGUGCAAUGAACCAACCCCCGAGUCUCUAGGACGUUCCUAAAAAAAUUUGAUUUUUUCCCAUAGGAAUGCAUGGGUUAGGGUUAUGGUUAGGGUUGGAGCUAGGGUUAGGGUUAGGGUUAGGGUUGGAGUUAGGGUUAGUGUUGGAGCUAGGGUUAGGGUUGGGCUUGGAGCUAGGAUUUUUCUGAGUGCAAUGAACCAACUCCCGAGUCUCUAGGACGUUCCUAAAAAAUUUGAUUUUUUCCCAUAGGAAUGCAUGGGUUAGGGUUAGGGUUAGGGUUGGAGCUAGGGUUAGGGUUAGGGUUAGGGUUGGAGUUAGGGUUAGUGUUGGAGCUAGGGUUAGGGUUGGGCUUGGAGCUAGGAUUUUUCUGAGUGCACUGAACCAACUCCCGAGUCUCUAGGACGUUCCUAAAAAAAUUUGAUUUUUUCCCAUAGGAAUGCAUGGGUUAGGGUUAUGGUUAGGGUUAGGGUUAGGGUUGGAGUUAGGGUUAGUGUUGGAGCUAGGGUUAGGGUUGGGCUUGGAGCUAGGAUUUUUCUGAGUGCACUGAACCAACUCCCGAGUCUCUAGGACAUUCCUAAAAAAAUUUGAUUUUUUCCCAUAGGAAUGCAUGGGUUAGGGUUAGGGUUAGGGUUGGAGCUAGGGUUAGGGUUAGGGUUAGGGUUGGAGUUAGGGUUAGUGUUGGAGCUAGGGUUAGGGUUGGGCUUGGAGCUAGGAUUUUUCUGAGUGCACUGAACCAACUCCCGAGUCUCUAGGACAUUCCUAAAAAAAUUUGAUUUUUUCCUAUAGGAAUGCAUGGGUUAGGGUUAUGGUUAGGGUUAGGGUUGGAGCUAGGGUUAGGGUUAGGGUUAGGGUUGGAGUUAGGGUUAGUGUUGGAGCUAGGGUUAGGGUUGGGCUUGGAGCUAGGAUUUUUCUGAGUGCACUGAACCAACUCCCGAGUCUCUAGGACAUUCCUAAAAAAAUUUGAUUUUUUCCCAUAGGAAUGCAUGGGUUAGGGUUAGGGUUAGGGUUGGAGCUAGGGUUAGGGUUAGGGUUAGGGUUGGAGUUAGGGUUAGUGUUGGAGCUAGGGUUAGGGUUGGGCUUGGAGCUAGGAUUUUUCUGAGUGCACUGAACCAACUCCCGAGUCUCUAGGACAUUCCUAAAAAAAUUUGAUUUUUUCCUAUAGGAAUGCAUGGGUUAGGGUUAUGGUUAGGGUUAGGGUUGGAGCUAGGGUUAGGGUUAGGGUUAGGGUUGGAGUUAGGGUUAGUGUUGGAGCUAGGGUUAGGGUUGGGCUUGGAGCUAGGAUUUUUCUGAGUGCACUGAACCAACUCCCGAGUCUCUAGGACAUUCCUAAAAAAAUUUGAUUUUUUCCCAUAGGAAUGCAUGGGUUAGGGUUAUGGUUAGGGUAAGGGUUGGAGCUAGGGUUAGGGUUAGGGUUAGGGUUGGAGUUAGGGUUAGUGUUGGAGCUAGGGUUAGGGUUGGGCUUGGAGCUAGGAUUUUUCUGAGUGCAAUGAACCAACUCCCGAGUCUCUAGGACGUUCCUAAAAAAAUUUGAUUUUUUCCCAUAGGAAUGCAUGGGUUAGGGUUAGGGUUAGGGUUGGAGCUAGUGUUAGGGUUAGGGAUAGGGUUGGAGUUAAGGUUAGUGUUGGAGCUAGGGUUAGGGUUGGGCUUGGAGCUAGGAUUUUUCUGAGUGCACUGAACCAACUCCCGAGUCUCUAGGACGUUCCUAAAAAAAUUUGAUUUUUUCCCAUAGGAAUGCAUGGGUUAGGGUUAUGGUUAGGGUUGGAGCUAGGGUUAGGGUUAGGGUUAGGGUUGGAGUUAGGGUUAGUGUUGGAGCUAGGGUUAGGGUUGGGCUUGGAGCUAGGAUUUUUCUGAGUGCAAUGAACCAACUCCCGAGUCUCUAGGACGUUCCUAAAAAAAUUUGAUUUUUUCCCAUAGGAAUGCAUGGGUUAGGGUUAGGGUUAGGGUUGGAGCUAGGGUUAGGGUUAGGGUUAGGGUUGGAGUUAGGGUUAGUGUUGGAGCUAGGGUUAGGGUUGGGCUUGGAGCUAGGAUUUUUCUGAGUGCACUGAACCAACUCCCGAGUCUCUAGGACGUUCCUAAAAAAAUUUGAUUUUUUCCCAUAGGAAUGCAUGGGUUAGGGUUAGGGUUAGGGUUAGGGUUGGAGCUAGGGUUAGGGUUAGGGUUAGGGUUGGAGUUAGGGUUGGGCUUGGAGCUAGGGUUAGGGUUGGGCUUGGAGCUAGGAUUUUUCUGAGUGCAAUGAACCAACCCCGAGUCUCUAGGACGUUCCUAAAAAAUCUGAUUUUUUCCCAUAGGAAUGCAUGGGUUAGGGUUAUGGUUAGGGUUAGGGUUGGAGCUAGGGUUAGGGUUAGGGUUAGGGUUGGAGUUAGGGUUAGUGUUGGAGCUAGGGUUAGGCUUGGGCUUGGAGCUAGGAUUUUUCUGAGUGCAAUGAACCAACUCCCGAGUCUCUAGGACGUUCCUAAAAAAAUUUGAUUUUUUCCCAUAGGAAUGCAUGGGUUAGGGUUAGGGUUAGGGUUGGAGCUAGGGUUAGGGUUAGGGUUAGGGUUGGAGUUAGGGUUAGUGUUGGAGCUAGGGUUAGGGUUGGGCUUGGAGCUAGGAUUUUUCUGAGUGCACUGAACCAACUCCCGAGUCUCUAGGACAUUCCUAAAAAAAUUUGAUUUUUUCCCAUAGGAAUGCAUGGGUUAGGGUUAGGGUUAGGGUUGGAGCUAGGGUUAGGGUUAGGGUUAGGGUUGGAGUUAGGGUUAGUGUUGGAGCUAGGGUUAGGGUUGGGCUUGGAGCUAGGAUUUUUCUGAGUGCACUGAACCAACUCCCGAGUCUCUAGGACAUUCCUAAAAAAUUUGAUUUUUUCCCAUAGGAAUGCAUGGGUUAGGGUUAUGGUUAGGGUUAGGGUUGGAGCUAGGGUUAGGGUUAGGGUUAGGGUUGGAGUUAGGGUUAGUGUUGGAGCUAGGGUUAGGGUUGGGCUUGGAGCUAGGAUUUUUCUGAGUGCAAUGAACCAACUCCCGAGUCUCUUGGACGUUCCUAAAAAAAUUUGAUUUUUUUCCCAUAGGAAUGCAUGGGUUAGGGUUAGGGUUAGGGUUGGAGCUAGGGUUAGGGUUAGGGUUAGGGUUGGAGUUAGGGUUAGUGUUGGAGCUAGGGUUAGGGUUGGGCUUGGAGCUAGGAUUUUUCUGAGUGCACUGAACCAACUCCCGAGUCUCUAGGACAUUCCUAAAAAAAUUUGAUUUUUUCCCAUAGGAAUGCAUGGGUUAGGGUUAGGGUUAGGGUUGGAGCUAGGGUUAGGGUUAGGGUUAGGGUUGGAGUUAGGGUUAGUGUUGGAGCUAGGGUUAGGGUUGGGCUUGGAGCUAGGAUUUUUCUGAGUGCACUGAACCAACUCCCGAGUCUCUAGGACAUUCCUAAAAAAAUUUGAUUUUUUCCCAUAGGAAUGCAUGGGUUAGGGUUAUGGUUAGGGUUAGGGUUGGAGCUAGGGUUAGGGUUAGGGUUAGGGUUGGAGUUAGGGUUAGUGUUGGAGCUAGGGUUAGGGUUGGGCUUGGAGCUAGGAUUUUUCUGAGUGCACUGAACCAACUCCCGAGUCUCUAGGACAUUCCUAAAAAAAUUUGAUUUUUUCCCAUAGGAAUGCAUGGGUUAGGGUUAGGGUUAGGGUUGGAGCUAGGGUUAGGGUUAGGGUUAGGGUUGGAGUUAGGGUUAGUGUUGGAGCUAGGGUUAGGGUUGGGCUUGGAGCUAGGAUUUUUCUGAGUGCACUGAACCAACUCCCGAGUCUCUAGGACAUUCCUAAAAAAAUUUGAUUUUUUCCCAUAGGAAUGCAUGGGUUAGGGUUAUGGUUAGGGUUAGGGUUGGAGCUAGGGUUAGGGUUAGGGUUAGGGUUGGAGUUAGGGUUAGUGUUGGAGCUAGGGUUAGGGUUGGGCUUGGAGCUAGGAUUUUUCUGAGUGCAAUGAACCAACUCCCGAGUCUCUUGGACGUUCCUAAAAAAAUUUGAUUUUUUCCCAUAGGAAUGCAUGGGUUAGGGUUAGGGUUAGGGUUGGAGCUAGGGUUAGGGUUAGGGUUAGGGUUGGAGUUAGGGUUAGUGUUGGAGCUAGGGUUAGGGUUGGGCUUGGAGCUAGGAUUUUUCUGAGUGCACUGAACCAACUCCCGAGUCUCUAGGACAUUCCUAAAAAAAUUUGAUUUUUUCCCAUAGGAAUGCAUGGGUUAGGGUUAGGGUUAGGGUUGGAGCUAGGGUUAGGGUUAGGGUUAGGGUUGGAGUUAGGGUUAGUGUUGGAGCUAGGGUUAGGGUUGGGCUUGGAGCUAGGAUUUUUCUGAGUGCAAUGAACCAACUCCCGAGUCUCUUGGACGUUCCUAAAAAAAUUUGAUUUUUUCCCAUAGGAAUGCAUGGGUUAGGGUUAGGGUUAGGGUUGGAGCUAGGGUUAGGGUUAGGGUUAGGGUUGGAGUUAGGGUUAGUGUUGGAGCUAGGGUAGGGUUGGGCUUGGAGCUAGGAUUUUUCUGAGUGCAAUGAACCAACUCCCGAGUCUCUUGGACGUUCCUAAAAAAAUUUGAUUUUUUCCCAUAGGAAUGCAUGGGUUAGGGUUAGGGUUAGGGUUGGAGCUAGGGUUAGGGUUAGGGUUAGGGUUGGAGUUAGGGUUAGUGUUGGAGCUAGGGUUAGGGUUGGGCUUGGAGCUAGGAUUUUUCUGAGUGCAAUGAACCAACUCCCGGGUCUCUAGGACGUUCCUAAAAAAAUUUGAUUUUUUCCCAUAGGAAUGCAUGGGUAAGGGUUAGGGUUAGGGUUGGAGCUAGGAUUAGGGUUAGGGUUAGGGUUGGAGUUAAGGUUAGUGUUGGAGCUAGGGUUAGGGUUGGGCUUGGAGCUAGGAUUUUUCUGAGUGCAAUGAACCAACUCCCGAGUCUCUAGGACGUUCCUAAAAAAAUUUGAUUUUUUCCCAUAGGAAUGCAUGGGUUAGGGUUAUGGUUAGGGUUAGGGUUGGAGCUAGGGUUAGGGUUAGGGUUAGGGUUGGAGUUAGGGUUAGUGUUGGAGCUAGGGUUAGGGUUGGGCUUGGAGCUAGGAUUUUUCUGAGUGCAAUGAACCAACCCCCGAGUCUCUAGGACGUUCCUAAAAAAUUUGAUUUUUUCCCAUAGGAAUGCAUGGGUUAGGGUUAUGGUUAGGGUUAGGGUUGGAGCUAGGGUUAGGGUUAGGGUUAGGGUUGGAGUUAGGGUUAGUGUUGGAGCUAGGGUUAGGGUUGGGCUUGGAGCUAGGAUUUUUCUGAGUGCAAUGAACCAACUCCCGAGUCUCUAGGACGUUCCUAAAAAAAUUUGAUUUUUUCCCAUAGGAAUGCAUGGGUUAGGGUUAGGGUUAGGGUUGGAGCUAGGGUUAGGGUUAGGGUUAGGGUUGGAGUUAGGGUUAGUGUUGGAGCUAGGGUUAGGGUUGGGCUUGGAGCUAGGAUUUUUCUGAGUGCACUGAACCAACUCCCGAGUCUCUAGGACAUUCCUAAAAAAAUUUGAUUUUUUCCCAUAGGAAUGCAUGGGUUAGGGUUAGGGUUAGGGUUGGAGCUAGGGUUAGGGUUAGGGUUAGGGUUGGAGUUAGGGUUAGUGUUGGAGCUAGGGUUAGGGUUGGGCUUGGAGCUAGGAUUUUUCUGAGUGCACUGAACCAACUCCCGAGUCUCUAGGACAUUCCUAAAAAAAUUUGAUUUUUUCCUAUAGGAAUGCAUGGGUUAGGGUUAUGGUUAGGGUUAGGGUUGGAGCUAGGGUUAGGGUUAGGGUUAGGGUUGGAGUUAGGGUUAGUGUUGGAGCUAGGGUUAGGGUUGGGCUUGGAGCUAGGAUUUUUCUGAGUGCACUGAACCAACUCCCGAGUCUCUAGGACAUUCCUAAAAAAAUUUGAUUUUUUCCCAUAGGAAUGCAUGGGUUAGGGUUAGGGUUAGGGUUGGAGCUAGGGUUAGGGUUAGGGUUAGGGUUGGAGUUAGGGUUAGUGUUGGAGCUAGGGUUAGGGUUGGGCUUGGAGCUAGGAUUUUUCUGAGUGCACUGAACCAACUCCCGAGUCUCUAGGACAUUCCUAAAAAAAUUUGAUUUUUUCCUAUAGGAAUGCAUGGGUUAGGGUUAUGGUUAGGGUUAGGGUUGGAGCUAGGGUUAGGGUUAGGGUUAGGGUUGGAGUUAGGGUUAGUGUUGGAGCUAGGGUUAGGGUUGGGCUUGGAGCUAGGAUUUUUCUGAGUGCACUGAACCAACUCCCGAGUCUCUAGGACAUUCCUAAAAAAAUUUGAUUUUUUCCCAUAGGAAUGCAUGGGUUAGGGUUAUGGUUAGGGUAAGGGUUGGAGCUAGGGUUAGGGUUAGGGUUAGGGUUGGAGUUAGGGUUAGUGUUGGAGCUAGGGUUAGGGUUGGGCUUGGAGCUAGGAUUUUUCUGAGUGCAAUGAACCAACUCCCGAGUCUCUAGGACGUUCCUAAAAAAAUUUGAUUUUUUCCCAUAGGAAUGCAUGGGUUAGGGUUAGGGUUAGGGUUGGAGCUAGUGUUAGGGUUAGGGAUAGGGUUGGAGUUAAGGUUAGUGUUGGAGCUAGGGUUAGGGUUGGGCUUGGAGCUAGGAUUUUUCUGAGUGCAAUGAACCAACUCCCGAGUCUCUAGGACGUUCCUAAAAAAAUUUGAUUUUUUCCCAUAGGAAUGCAUGGGUUAGGGUUAUGGUUAGGGUAAGGGUUGGAGCUAGGGUUAGGGUUAGGGUUAGGGUUGGAGUUAGGGUUAGUGUUGGAGCUAGGGUUAGGGUUGGGCUUGGAGCUAGGAUUUUUCUGAGUGCAAUGAACCAACUCCCGAGUCUCUAGGACGUUCCUAAAAAAAUUUGAUUUUUUCCCAUAGGAAUGCAUGGGUUAGGGUUAGGGUUAGGGUUGGAGCUAGGGUUAGGGUUAGGGAUAGGGUUGGAGUUAAGGUUAGUGUUGGAGCUAGGGUUAGGGUUGGGCUUGGAGCUAGGAUUUUUCUGAGUGCACUGAACCAACUCCCGAGUCUCUAGGACGUUCCUAAAAAAAUUUGAUUUUUUCCCAUAGGAAUGCAUGGGUUAGGGUUAGGGUUAGGGUUAGGGUUGGAGCUAGGGUUAGGGUUAGGGUUAGGGUUGGAGUUAGGGUUGGGCUUGGAGCUAGGGUUAGGGUUGGGCUUGGAGCUAGGAUUUUUCUGAGUGCAAUGAACCAACCCCCGAGUCUCUAGGACGUUCCUAAAAAAAUCUGAUUUUUUCCCAUAGGAAUGCAUGGGUUAGGGUUAUGGUUAGGGUUAGGGUUGGAGCUAGGGUUAGGGUUAGGGUUAGGGUUGGAGUUAGGGUUAGUGUUGGAGCUAGGGUUAGGCUUGGGCUUGGAGCUAGGAUUUUUCUGAGUGCAAUGAACCAACUCCCGAGUCUCUAGGACGUUCCUAAAAAAAUUUGAUUUUUUCCCAUAGGAAUGCAUGGGUUAGGGUUAGGGUUAGGGUUGGAGCUAGGGUUAGGGUUAGGGUUAGGGUUGGAGUUAGGGUUAGUGUUGGAGCUAGGGUUAGGGUUGGGCUUGGAGCUAGGAUUUUUCUGAGUGCACUGAACCAACUCCCGAGUCUCUAGGACAUUCCUAAAAAAAUUUGAUUUUUUCCCAUUGGAAUGCAUGGGUUAGGGUUAGGGUUAGGGUUGGAGCUAGGGUUAGGGUUAGGGUUAGGGUUGGAGUUAGGGUUAGUGUUGGAGCUAGGGUUAGGGUUGGGCUUGGAGCUAGGAUUUUUCUGAGUGCACUGAACCAACUCCCGAGUCUCUAGGACAUUCCUAAAAAAAUUUGAUUUUUUCCCAUAGGAAUGCAUGGGUUAGGGUUAUGGUUAGGGUUAGGGUUGGAGCUAGGGUUAGGGUUAGGGUUAGGGUUGGAGUUAGGGUUAGUGUUGGAGCUAGGGUUAGGGUUGGGCUUGGAGCUAGGAUUUUUCUGAGUGCAAUGAACCAACUCCCGAGUCUCUUGGACGUUCCUAAAAAAAUUUGAUUUUUUCCCAUAGGAAUGCAUGGGUUAGGGUUAGGGUUAGGGUUGGAGCUAGGGUUAGGGUUAGGGUUAGGGUUGGAGUUAGGGUUAGUGUUGGAGCUAGGGUUAGGGUUGGGCUUGGAGCUAGGAUUUUUCUGAGUGCACUGAACCAACUCCCGAGUCUCUAGGACAUUCCUAAAAAAAUUUGAUUUUUUCCCAUAGGAAUGCAUGGGUUAGGGUUAGGGUUAGGGUUGGAGCUAGGGUUAGGGUUAGGGUUAGGGUUGGAGUUAGGGUUAGUGUUGGAGCUAGGGUUAGGGUUGGGCUUGGAGCUAGGAUUUUUCUGAGUGCACUGAACCAACUCCCGAGUCUCUAGGACAUUCCUAAAAAAAUUUGAUUUUUUCCCAUAGGAAUGCAUGGGUUAGGGUUAUGGUUAGGGUUAGGGUUGGAGCUAGGGUUAGGGUUAGGGUUAGGGUUGGAGUUAGGGUUAGUGUUGGAGCUAGGGUUAGGGUUGGGCUUGGAGCUAGGAUUUUUCUGAGUGCACUGAACCAACUCCCGAGUCUCUAGGACAUUCCUAAAAAAAUUUGAUUUUUUCCCAUAGGAAUGCAUGGGUUAGGGUUAGGGUUAGGGUUGGAGCUAGGGUUAGGGUUAGGGUUAGGGUUGGAGUUAGGGUUAGUGUUGGAGCUAGGGUUAGGGUUGGGCUUGGAGCUAGGAUUUUUCUGAGUGCACUGAACCAACUCCCGAGUCUCUAGGACAUUCCUAAAAAAAUUUGAUUUUUUCCCAUAGGAAUGCAUGGGUUAGGGUUAUGGUUAGGGUUAGGGUUGGAGCUAGGGUUAGGGUUAGGGUUAGGGUUGGAGUUAGGGUUAGUGUUGGAGCUAGGGUUAGGGUUGGGCUUGGAGCUAGGAUUUUUCUGAGUGCAAUGAACCAACUCCCGAGUCUCUUGGACGUUCCUAAAAAAAUUUGAUUUUUUCCCAUAGGAAUGCAUGGGUUAGGGUUAGGGUUAGGGUUGGAGCUAGGGUUAGGGUUAGGGUUAGGGUUGGAGUUAGGGUUAGUGUUGGAGCUAGGGUUAGGGUUGGGCUUGGAGCUAGGAUUUUUCUGAGUGCACUGAACCAACUCCCGAGUCUCUAGGACAUUCCUAAAAAAAUUUGAUUUUUUCCCAUAGGAAUGCAUGGGUUAGGGUUAGGGUUAGGGUUGGAGCUAGGGUUAGGGUUAGGGUUAGGGUUGGAGUUAGGGUUAGUGUUGGAGCUAGGGUUAGGGUUGGGCUUGGAGCUAGGAUUUUUCUGAGUGCAAUGAACCAACUCCCGAGUCUCUUGGACGUUCCUAAAAAAAUUUGAUUUUUUCCCAUAGGAAUGCAUGGGUUAGGGUUAGGGUUAGGGUUGGAGCUAGGGUUAGGGUUAGGGUUAGGGUUGGAGUUAGGGUUAGUGUUGGAGCUAGGGAUAGGGUUGGGCUUGGAGCUAGGAUUUUUCUGAGUGCAAUGAACCAACUCCCGAGUCUCUUGGACGUUCCUAAAAAAAUUUGAUUUUUUCCCAUAGGAAUGCAUGGGUUAGGGUUAGGGUUAGGGUUGGAGCUAGGGUUAGGGUUAGGGUUAGGGUUGGAGUUAGGGUUAGUGUUGGAGCUAGGGUUAGGGUUGGGCUUGGAGCUAGGAUUUUUCUGAGUGCAAUGAACCAACUCCCGGGUCUCUAGGACGUUCCUAAAAAAAUUUGAUUUUUUCCCAUAGGAAUGCAUGGGUAAGGGUUAGGGUUAGGGUUGGAGCUAGGAUUAGGGUUAGGGUUAGGGUUGGAGUUAAGGUUAGUGUUGGAGCUAGGGUUAGGGUUGGGCUUGGAGCUAGGAUUUUUCUGAGUGCAAUGAACCAACUCCCGAGUCUCUAGGACGUUCCUAAAAAAAUUUGAUUUUUUCCCAUAGGAAUGCAUGGGUUAGGGUUAUGGUUAGGGUUAGGGUUGGAGCUAGGGUUAGGGUUAGGGUUAGGGUUGGAGUUAGGGUUAGUGUUGGAGCUAGGGUUAGGGUUGGGCUUGGAGCUAGGAUUUUUCUGAGUGCAAUGAACCAACCCCCGAGUCUCUAGGACGUUCCUAAAAAAUUUGAUUUUUUCCCAUAGGAAUGCAUGGGUUAGGGUUAUGGUUAGGGUUAGGGUUGGAGCUAGGGUUAGGGUUAGGGUUAGGGUUGGAGUUAGGGUUAGUGUUGGAGCUAGGGUUAGGGUUGGGCUUGGAGCUAGGAUUUUUCUGAGUGCAAUGAACCAACUCCCGAGUCUCUAGGACGUUCCUAAAAAAUUUGAUUUUUUCCCAUAGGAAUGCAUGGGUUAGGGUUAGGGUUAGGGUUGGAGCUAGGGUUAGGGUUAGGGUUAGGGUUGGAGUUAGGGUUAGUGUUGGAGCUAGGGUUAGGGUUGGGCUUGGAGCUAGGAUUUUUCUUAGUGCAGUGAACCAACUCCCGAGUCUCUAGGACAUUCCUAAAAAAUUUGAUUUUUUCCCAUAGGAAUGCAUGGGUUAGGGUUAGGGUUAGGGUUGGAGCUAGGGUUAGGGUUAGGGUUAGGGUUGGAGUUAGGGUUAGUGUUGGAGCUAGGGUUAGGGUUGGGCUUGGAGCUAGGAUUUUUCUGAGUGCACUGAACCAACUCCCGAGUCUCUAGGACAUUCCUAAAAAAAUUUGAUUUUUUCCCAUAGGAAUGCAUGGGUUAGGGUUAUGGUUAGGGUUAGGGUUGGAGCUAGGGUUAGGGUUAGGGUUAGGGUUGGAGUUAGGGUUAGUGUUGGAGCUAGGGUUAGGGUUGGGCUUGGAGCUAGGAUUUUUCUGAGUGCAAUGAACCAACUCCCGAGUCUCUUGGACGUUCCUAAAAAAAUUUGAUUUUUUCCCAUAGGAAUGCAUGGGUUAGGGUUAGGGUUAGGGUUGGAGCUAGGGUUAGGGUUAGGGUUAGGGUUGGAGUUAGGGUUAGUGUUGGAGCUAGGGUUAGGGUUGGGCUUGGAGCUAGGAUUUUUCUGAGUGCACUGAACCAACUCCCGAGUCUCUAGGACAUUCCUAAAAAAAUUUGAUUUUUUCCCAUAGGAAUGCAUGGGUUAGGGUUAGGGUUAGGGUUGGAGCUAGGGUUAGGGUUAGGGUUAGGGUUGGAGUUAGGGUUAGUGUUGGAGCUAGGGUUAGGGUUGGGCUUGGAGCUAGGAUUUUUCUGAGUGCACUGAACCAACUCCCGAGUCUCUAGGACAUUCCUAAAAAAAUUUGAUUUUUUCCCAUAGGAAUGCAUGGGUUAGGGUUAUGGUUAGGGUUAGGGUUGGAGCUAGGGUUAGGGUUAGGGUUAGGGUUGGAGUUAGGGUUAGUGUUGGAGCUAGGGUUAGGGUUGGGCUUGGAGCUAGGAUUUUUCUGAGUGCAAUGAACCAACUCCCGAGUCUCUUGGACGUUCCUAAAAAAAUGUGAUUUUUUCCCAUAGGAAUGCAUGGGUUAGGGUUAGGGUUAGGGUUGGAGCUAGGGUUAGGGUUAGGGUUAGGGUUGGAGUUAGGGUUAGUGUUGGAGCUAGGGUUAGGGUUGGGCUUGGAGCUAGGAUUUUUCUGAGUGCACUGAACCAACUCCCGAGUCUCUAGGACAUUCCUAAAAAAAUUUGAUUUUUUCCCAUAGGAAUGCAUGGGUUAGGGUUAGGGUUAGGGUUGGAGCUAGGGUUAGGGUUAGGGUUAGGGUUGGAGUUAGGGUUAGUGUUGGAGCUAGGGUUAGGGUUGGGCUUGGAGCUAGGAUUUUUCUGAGUGCACUGAACCAACUCCCGAGUCUCUAGGACAUUCCUAAAAAAAUUUGAUUUUUUCCCAUAGGAAUGCAUGGGUUAGGGUUAUGGUUAGGGUUAGGGUUGGAGCUAGGGUUAGGGUUAGGGUUAGGGUUGGAGUUAGGGUUAGUGUUGGAGCUAGGGUUAGGGUUGGGCUUGGAGCUAGGAUUUUUCUGAGUGCAAUGAACCAACUCCCGAGUCUCUUGGACGUUCCUAAAAAAAUUUGAUUUUUUCCCAUAGGAAUGCAUGGGUUAGGGUUAGGGUUAGGGUUGGAGCUAGGGUUAGGGUUAGGGUUAGGGUUGGAGUUAGGGUUAGUGUUGGAGCUAGGGUUAGGGUUGGGCUUGGAACUAGGAUUUUUCUGAGUGCAAUGAACCAACUCCCGAGUCUCUAGGACGUUCCUAAAAAAAUUUGAUUUUUUCCCAUAGGAAUGCAUGGGUUAGGGUUAGGGUUAGGGUUGGAGCUAGGGUUAGGGUUAGGGUUAGGGUUGGAGUUAAGGUUAGUGUUGGAGCUAGGGUUAGGGUUGGGCUUGGAGCUAGGAUUUUUCUGAGUGCAAUGAACCAACUCCCGAGUCUCUAGGACGUUCCUAAAAAAAUUUGAUUUUUUCCCAUAGGAAUGCAUGGGUUAGGGUUAUGGUUAGGGUUAGGGUUGGAGCUAGGGUUAGGGUAAGGGUUAGGGUUGGAGUUAGGGUUAGUGUUGGAGCUAGGGUUAGGGUUGGGCUUGGAGCUAGGAUUUUUCUGAGUGCAAUGAACCAACCCCCGAGUCUCUAGGACGUUCCUAAAAAAAUUUGAUUUUUUCCCAUAGGAAUGCAUGGGUUAGGGUUAUGGUUAGGGUUAGGGUUGGAGCUAGGGUUAGGGUUAGGGUUGGAGUUAGGGUUAGUGUUGGAGCUAGGGUUAGGGUUGGGCUUGGAGCUAGGAUUUUUCUGAGUGCAAUGAACCAACUCCCGAGUCUCUAGGACAUUCCUAAAAAAAUUUGAUUUUUUUCCCAUAGGAAUGCAUGGGUUAGGGUUAGGGUUAGGGUUGGAGCUAGGGUUAGGGUUAGGGUUAGGGUUGGAGUUAGGGUUAGUGUUGGAGCUAGGGUUAGGGUUGGGCUUGGAGCUAGGAUUUUUCUGAGUGCAAUGAACCAACUCCCGAGUCUCUAGGACGUUCCUAAAAAAAUUUGAUUUUUUCCCAUAGGAAUGCAUGGGUUAGGGUUAGGGUUAGGGUUGGAGCUAGGGUUAGGGUUAGGGUUAGGGUUGGAGUUAGGGUUAGUGUUGGAGCUAGGGUUAGGGUUGGGCUUGGAGCUAGGAUUUUUCUGAGUGCACUGAACCAACUCCUGAGUCUCUAGGACAUUCCUAAAAAAAUUGAUUUUUUCCCAUAGGAAUGCAUGGGUUAGGGUUAGGGUUAGGGUUGGAGCUAGGGUUAGGGUUAGGGUUAGGGUUGGAGUUAGGGUUAGUGUUGGAGCUAGGGUUAGGGUUGGGCUUGGAGCUAGGAUUUUUCUGAGUGCACUGAACCAACUCCCGAGUCUCUAGGACAUUCCUAAAAAAAUUUGAUUUUUUCCCAUAGGAAUGCAUGGGUUAGGGUUAGGGUUAGGGUUGGAGCUAGGGUUAGGGUUAGGGUUAGGGUUGGAGUUAGGGUUAGUGUUGGAGCUAGGGUUAGGGUUGGGCUUGGAGCUAGGAUUUUUCUGGGUGCAAUGAACCAACUCCCGAGUCUCUUGGACGUUCCUAAAAAAUUUGAUUUUUUCCCAUUGCAAUGCAUUUGUUAGGGUUAGGGUUAGGGUUAGGGUUAGGGUUGGAGCUAGGGUUAGGGUUAGGGUUAGGGUUGGAGUUAGGGUUAGUGUUGGAGCUAGGGUUAGGGUUGGGCUUGGAGCUAGGAUUUUUCUGAGUGCAAUGAACCAACUCCCGAGUCUCUAGGACGUUCCUAAAAAAAUUUGAUUUUUUCCCAUAGGAAUGCAUGGGUUAGGGUUAUGGUUAGGGUUAGGGUUGGAGCUAGGGUUAGGGUUAGGGUUAGGGUUGGAGUUAGGGUUAGUGUUGGAGCUAGGGUUAGGGUUGGGCUUGGAGCUAGGAUUUUUCUGAGUGCAAUGAACCAACCCCCGAGUCUCUAGGACGUUCCUAAAAAAAUUUGAUUUUUUCCCAUAGGAAUGCAUGGGUUAGGGUUAUGGUUAGGGUUAGGGUUGGAGCUAGGGUUAGGGUUAGGGUUAGGGUUGGAGUUAGGGUUAGUGUUGGAGCUAGGGUUAGGGUUGGGCUUGGAGCUAGGAUUUUUCUGAGUGCAAUGAACCAACUCCCGAGUCUCUAGGACGUUCCUAAAAAAAUUUGAUUUUUUCCCAUAGGAAUGCAUGGGUUAGGGUUAGGGUUAGGGUUGGAGCUAGGGUUAGGGUUAGGGUUAGGGUUGGAGUUAGGGUUAGUGUUGGAGCUAGGGUUAGGGUUGGGCUUGGAGCUAGGAUUUUUCUGAGUGCAAUGAACCAACUCCCGAAUCUCUAGGACAUUCCUAAAAAAAUUUGAUUUUUUCCCAUAGGAAUGCAUGGGUUAGGGUUAGGGUUAGGGUUGGAGCUAGGGUUAGGGUUAGGGUUAGGGUUGGAGUUAGGGUUAGUGUUGGAGCUAGGGUUAGGGUUGGGCUUGGAGCUAGGAUUUUUCUGAGUGCACUGAACCAACUCCCGAGUCUCUAGGACAUUCCAAAAAAAAUUUGAUUUUUUCCCAUAGGAAUGCAUGGGUUAGGGUUAUGGUUAGGGUUAGGGUUGGAGCUAGGGUUAGGGUUAGGGUUAGGGUUGGAGUUAGGGUUAGUGUUGGAGCUAGGGUUAGGGUUGGGCUUGGAGCUAGGAUUUUUCUGAGUGCAAUGAACCAACUCCCGAGUCUCUUGGACGUUCCUAAAAAAAUUUGAAUUUUUCCAAUAGGAAUGCAUGGGUUAGGGUUAGGGUUAGGGUUGGAGCUAGGGUUAGGGUUAGGGUUAGGGUUGGAGUUAGGGUUAGUGUUGGAGCUAGGGUUAGGGUUGGGCUUGGAGCUAGGAUUUUUCUGAGUGCACUGAACCAACUCCCGAGUCUCUAGGACGUUCCUAAAAAAAUUUGAUUUUUUCCCAUAGGAAUGCAUGGGUUAGGGUUAGGGUUAGGGUUGGAGCUAGGGUUAGGGUUAGGGUUAGGGUUGGAGUUAGGGUUAGUGUUGGAGCUAGGGUUAGGGUUGGGCUUGGAGCUAGGAUUUUUCUGAGUGCACUGAACCAACUCCUGAGUCUCUAGGACAUUCCUAAAAAAAUUGAUUUUUUCCCAUAGGAAUGCAUGGGUUAGGGUUAGGGUUAGGGUUGGAGCUAGGGUUAGGGUUAGGGUUAGGGUUGGAGUUAGGGUUAGUGUUGGAGCUAGGGUUAGGGUUGGGCUUGGAGCUAGGAUUUUUCUGAGUGCACUGAACCAACUCCCGAGUCUCUAGGACAUUCCUAAAAAAAAUUGAUUUUUUCCCAUAGGAAUGCAUGGGUUAGGGUUAGGGUUAGGGUUGGAGCUAGGGUUAGGGUUAGGGUUAGGGUUGGAGUUAGGGUUAGUGUUGGAGCUAGGGUUAGGGUUGGGCUUGGAGCUAGGAUUUUUCUGAGUGCACUGAACCAACUCCCGAGUCUCUAGGACAUUCCUAAAAAAAUUUGAUUUUUUCCCAUAGGAAUGCAUGGGUUAGGGUUAUGGUUAGGGUUAGGGUUAGGGUUGGAGUUAGGGUUAGUGUUGGAGCUAGGGUUAGGGUUGGGCUUGGAGCUAGGAUUUUUCUGAGUGCAAUGAACCAACUCCCGAGUCUCUUGGACGUUCCUAAAAAAAAUUGAUUUUUUCCCAUAGGAAUGCAUGGGUUAGGGUUAGGGUUAGGGUUGGAGCUAGGGUUAGGGUUAGGGUUAGGGUUGGAGUUAGGGUUAGUGUUGGAGCUAGGGUUAGGGUUGGGCUUGGAGCUAGGAUUUUUCUGAGUGCAAUGAACCAACUCCCGAGUCUCUAGGACGUUCCUAAAAAAUUUGAUUUUUUCCCAUAGGAAUGCAUGGGUUAGGGUUAGGGUUAGGGUUGGAGCUAGGGUUAGGGUUAGGGUUAGGGUUCGAGUUAAGGUUAGUGUUGGAGCUAGGGUUAGGGUUGGGCUUGGAGCUAGGAUUUUUCUGAGUGCAAUGAACCAACUCCCGAGUCUCUAGGACGUUCCUAAAAAAAUUUGAUUUUUUCCCAUAGGAAUGCAUGGGUUAGGGUUAUGGUUAGGGUUAGGGUUGGAGCUAGGGUUAGGGUUAGGGUUAGGGUUGGAGUAAGGGUUAGUGUUGGAGCUAGGGUUAGGGUUGGGCUUGGAGCUAGGAUUUUUCUGAGUGCAAUGAACCAACCCCCGAGUCUCUAGGACGUUCCUAAAAAAUUUGAUUUUUUCCCAUAGGAAUGCAUGGAUUAGGGUUAGGGUUAGGGUUGGAGCUAGGGUUAGGGUUAGGGUUAGGGUUGGAGUUAGGGUUAGUGUUGGAGCUAGGGUUAGGGUUGGGCUUGGAGCUAGGAUUUUUCUGAGUGCAAUGAACCAACUCCCGAGUCUCUAGGACGUUCCUAAAAAAAUUUGAUUUUUUCCCAUAGGAAUGCAUGGGUUAGGGUUAGGGUUAGGGUUGGAGCUAGGGUUAGGGUUAGGGUUAGGGUUGGAGUUAGGGUUAGUGUUGGAGCUAGGGUUAGGGUUGGGCUUGGAGCUAGGAUUUUUCUGAGUGCACUGAACCAACUCCCGAGUCUCUAGGACAUUCCUAAAAAAAUUUGAUUUUUUCCCAUAGGAAUGCAUGGGUUAGGGUUAGGGUUAGGGUUGGAGCUAGGGUUAGGGUUAGGGUUAGGGUUGGAGUUAGGGUUAGUGUUGGAGCUAGGGUUAGGGUUGGGCUUGGAGCUAGGAUUUUUCUGAGUGCACUGAACCAACUCCCGAGUCUCUAGGACAUUCCUAAAAAAUUUGAUUUUUUCCCAUAGGAAUGCAUGGGUUAGGGUUAGGGUUAGGGUUGGAGCUAGGGUUAGGGUUAGGGUUAGGGUUGGAGUUAGGGUUAGUGUUGGAGCUAGGGUUAGGGUUGGGCUUGGAGCUAGGAUUUUUCUGAGUGCAAUGAACCAACCCCCGAGUCUCUAGGACGUCCCAAAAAAAAUUUGAUUUUUUCCCAUAGGAAUGCAUGGGUUAGGGUUAUGGUAAGGGUUAGGGUUGGAGCUAGGGUUAGGGUUAGGGUUAGGGUUGGAGUUAGGGUUAGUGUUGGAGCUAGGGUUAGGGUUGGGCUUGGAGCUAGGAUUUUUCUGAGUGCAAUGAACCAACUCCCGAGUCUCUAGGACAUUCCUAAAAAAAUUUGAUUUUUUCCCAUAGGAAUGCAUGGGUUAGGGUUAGGGUUAGGGUUGGAGCUAGGGUUAGGGUUAGGGUUAGGGUUGGAGUUAGGGUUAGUGUUGGAGCUAGGGUUAGGGUUGGGCUUGGAGCUAGGAUUUUUCUGAGUGCAAUGAACCAACUCCCGAGUCUCUUGGACGUUCCUAAAAAAAUUUGAUUUUUUCCCAUAGGAAUGCAUGGGUUAGGGUUAGGGUUAGGGUUGGAGCUAGGGUUAGGGUUAGGGUUAGGGUUGGAGUUAGGGUUAGUGUUGGAGCUAGGGUUAGGGUUGGGCUUGGAGCUAGGAUUUUUCUGAGUGCACUGAACCAACUCCCGAGUCUCUAGGACAUUCCUAAAAAAAUUUGAUUUUUUCCCAUAGGAAUGCAUGGGUUAGGGUUAUGGUUAGGGUUAGGGUUGGAGCUAGGGUUAGGGUUAGGGUUAGGGUUGGAGUUAGGGUUAGUGUUGGAGCUAGGGUUAGGGUUGGGCUUGGAGCUAGGAUUUUUCUGAGUGCAAUGAACCAACUCCCGAGUCUCUUGGACGUUCCUAAAAAAAUUUGAUUUUUUUCCAUAGGAAUGCAUGGGUUAGGGUUAGGGUUAGGGUUGGAGCUAGGGUUAGGGUUAGGGUUAGGGUUGGAGUUAGGGUUAGUGUUGGAGCUAGGGUUAGGGUUGGGCUUGGAGCUAGGAUUUUUCUGAGUGCACUGAACCAACUCCCGAGUCUCUAGGACAUUCCUAAAAAAAUUUGAUUUUUUCCCAUAGGAAUGCAUGGGUUAGGGUUAGGGUUAGGGUUGGAGCUAGGGUUAGGGUUAGGGUUAGGGUUGGAGUUAGGGUUAGUGUUGGAGCUAGGGUUAGGGUUGGGCUUGGAGCUAGGAUUUUUCUGAGUGCACUGAACCAACUCUCGAGUCUCUAGGACAUUCCUAAAAAAAUUUGAUUUUUUCCCAUAGGAAUGCAUGGGUUAGGGUUAGGGUUAGUGUUGGAGCUAGGGUUAGGGUUGGGCUUGGAGCUAGGAUUUUUCUGAGUGCAAUGAACCAACUCCCGAGUCUCUAGGACGUUCCUAAAAAAAUUUGAUUUUUUCCCAUAGGAAUGCAUGGGUUAGGGUUAGGGUUAGGGUUGGAGCUAGGGUUAGGGUUAGGGUUAGGGUUCGAGUUAAGGUUAGUGUUGGAGCUAGGGUUAGGGUUGGGCUUGGAGCUAGGAUUUUUCUGAGUGCAAUGAACCAACUCCCGAGUCUCUAGGACGUUCCUAAAAAAAUUUGAUUUUUUCCCAUAGGAAUGCAUGGGUUAGGGUUAUGGUUAGGGUUAGGGUUGGAGCUAGGGUUAGGGUUAGGGUUAGGGUUGGAGUAAGGGUUAGUGUUGGAGCUAGGGUUAGGGUUGGGCUUGGAGCUAGGAUUUUUCUGAGUGCAAUGAACCAACUCCCGAGUCUCUAGGACGUUCCUAAAAAAAUUUGAUUUUUUCCCAUAGGAAUGCAUGGAUUAGGGUUAGGGUUAGGGUUGGAGCUAGGGUUAGGGUUAGGGUUAGGGUUGGAGUUAGGGUUAGUGUUGGAGCUAGGGUUAGGGUUGGGCUUGGAGCUAGGAUUUUUCUGAGUGCAAUGAACCAACUCCCGAGUCUCUAGGACGUUCCUAAAAAAAUUUGAUUUUUUCCCAUAGGAAUGCAUGGGUUAGGGUUAGGGUUAGGGUUGGAGCUAGGGUUAGGGUUAGGGUUAGGGUUGGAGUUAGGGUUAGUGUUGGAGCUAGGGUUAGGGUUGGGCUUGGAGCUAGGAUUUUUCUGAGUGCACUGAACCAACUCCCGAGUCUCUAGGACAUUCCUAAAAAAAUUUGAUUUUUUCCCAUAGGAAUGCAUGGGUUAGGGUUAGGGUUAGGGUUGGAGCUAGGGUUAGGGUUAGGGUUAGGGUUGGAGUUAGGGUUAGUGUUGGAGCUAGGGUUAGGGUUGGGCUUGGAGCUAGGAUUUUUCUGAGUGCACUGAACCAACUCCCGAGUCUCUAGGACAUUCCUAAAAAAAUUUGAUUUUUUCCCAUAGGAAUGCAUGGGUUAGGGUUAGGGUUAGGGUUGGAGCUAGGGUUAGGGUUAGGGUUAGGGUUGGAGUUAGGGUUAGUGUUGGAGCUAGGGUUAGGGUUGGGCUUGGAGCUAGGAUUUUUCUGAGUGCAAUGAACCAACCCCCGAGUCUCUAGGACGUCCCAAAAAAAAUUUGAUUUUUUCCCAUAGGAAUGCAUGGGUUAGGGUUAUGGUAAGGGUUAGGGUUGGAGCUAGGGUUAGGGUUAGGGUUAGGGUUGGAGUUAGGGUUAGUGUUGGAGCUAGGGUUAGGGUUGGGCUUGGAGCUAGGAUUUUUCUGAGUGCAAUGAACCAACUCCCGAGUCUCUAGGACAUUCCUAAAAAAAUUUGAUUUUUUCCCAUAGGAAUGCAUGGGUUAGGGUUAGGGUUAGGGUUGGAGCUAGGGUUAGGGUUAGGGUUAGGGUUGGAGUUAGGGUUAGUGUUGGAGCUAGGGUUAGGGUUGGGCUUGGAGCUAGGAUUUUUCUGAGUGCAAUGAACCAACUCCCGAGUCUCUUGGACGUUCCUAAAAAAAUUUGAUUUUUUCCCAUAGGAAUGCAUGGGUUAGGGUUAGGGUUAGGGUUGGAGCUAGGGUUAGGGUUAGGGUUAGGGUUGGAGUUAGGGUUAGUGUUGGAGCUAGGGUUAGGGUUGGGCUUGGAGCUAGGAUUUUUCUGAGUGCAAUGAACCAACUCCCGAGUCUCUAGGACGUUCCUAAAAAAAUUUGAUUUUUUCCCAUAGGAAUGCAUGGGUUAGGGUUAGGGUUAGGGUUGGAGCUAGGGUUAGGGUUAGGGUUAGGGUUGGAGUUAAGGUUAGUGUUGGAGCUAGGGUUAGGGUUGGGCUUGGAGCUAGGAUUUUUCUGAGUGCAAUGAACCAACUCCCGAGUCUCUAGGACGUUCCUAAAAAAAUUUGAUUUUUUCCCAUAGGAAUGCAUGGGUUAGGGUUAUGGUUAGGGUUAGGGUUGGAGCUAGGGUUAGGGUUAGGGUUAGGGUUGGAGUUAGGGUUAGUGUUGGAGCUAGGGUUAGGGUUGGGCUUGGAGCUAGGAUUUUUCUGAGUGCAAUGAACCAACCCCCGAGUCUCUAGGACGUUCCUAAAAAAAUUUGAUUUUUUCCCAUAGGAAUGCAUGGGUUAGGGUUAUGGUUAGGGUUAGGGUUGGAGCUAGGGUUAGGGUUAGGGUUAGGGUUGGAGUUAGGGUUAGUGUUGGAGCUAGGGUUAGGGUUGGGCUUGGAGCUAGGAUUUUUCUGAGUGCAAUGAACCAACUCCCGAGUCUCUAGGACGUUCCUAAAAAAAUUUGAUUUUUUCCCAUAGGAAUGCAUGGGUUAGGGUUAGGGUUAGGGUUGGAGCUAGGGUUAGGGUUAGGGUUAGGGUUGGAGUUAGGGUUAGUGUUGGAGCUAGGGUUAGGGUUGGGCUUGGAGCUAGGAUUUUUCUGAGUGCACUGAACCAACUCCCGAGUCUCUAGGACAUUCCUAAAAAAAUUUGAUUUUUUCCCAUAGGAAUGCAUGGGUUAGGGUUAGGGUUAGGGUUGGAGCUAGGGUUAGGGUUAGGGUUAGGGUUGGAGUUAGGGUUAGUGUUGGAGCUAGGGUUAGGGUUGGGCUUGGAGCUAGGAUUUUUCUGAGUGCACUGAACCAACUCCCGAGUCUCUAGGACAUUCCUAAUAAAAUUUGAUUUUUUCCAAUAGGAAUGCAUGGGUUAGGGUUAGGGUUAGGGUUGGAGCUAGGGUUAGGGUUAGGGUUAGGGUUGGAGUUAGGGUUAGUGUUGGAGCUAGGGUUAGGGUUGGGCUUGGAGCUAGGAUUUUUCUGAGUGCACUGAACCAACUCCCGAGUCUCUAGGACAUUCCUAAAAAAAUUUGAUUUUUUCCCAUAGGAAUGCAUGGGUUAGGGUUAUGGUUAGGGUUAGGGUUGGAGCUAGGGUUAGGGUUAGGGUUAGGGUUGGAGUUAGGGUUAGUGUUGGAGCUAGGGUUAGGGUUGGGCUUGGAGCUAAGGAUUUUUCUGAGUGCAAUGAACCAACUCCCGAGUCUCUUGGACGUUCCUAAAAAAAUUUGAUUUUUUUCCAUAGGAAUGCAUGGGUUAGGGUUAGGGUUAGGGUUGGAGCUAGGGUUAGGGUUAGGGUUAGGGUUGGAGUUAGGGUUAGUGUUGGAGCUAGGGUUAGGGUUGGGCUUGGAGCUAGGAUUUUUCUGAGUGCACUGAACCAACUCCCGAGUCUCUAGGACAUUCCUAAAAAAAUUUGAUUUUUUCCCAUAGGAAUGCAUGGGUUAGGGUUAGGGUUAGGGUUGGAGCUAGGGUUAGGGUUAGGGUUAGGGUUGGAGUUAGGGUUAGUGUUGGAGCUAGGGUUAGGGUUGGGCUUGGAGCUAGGAUUUUUCUGAGUGCACUGAACCAACUCUCGAGUCUCUAGGACAUUCCUAAAAAAAUUUGAUUUUUUCCCAUAGGAAUGCAUGGGUUAGGGUUAUGGUUAGGGUUAGGGUUGGAGCUAGGGUUAGGGUUAGGGUUAGGGUUGGAGUUAGGGUUAGUGUUGGAGCUAGGGUUAGGGUUGGGCUUGGAGCUAGGAUUUUUCUGAGUGCAAUGAACCAACUCCCGAGUCUCUUGGACGUUCCUAAAAAAAUUUGAUUUUUUCCCAUAGGAAUGCAUGGGUUAGGGUUAGGGUUAGGGUUGGAGCUAGGGUUAGGGUUAGGGUUAGGGUUGGAGUUAGGGUUAGUGUUGGAGCUAGGGUUAGGGUUGGGCUUGGAGCUAGGAUUUUUCUGAGUGCACUGAACCAACUCCCGAGUCUCUGGGACAUUCCUAAAAAAAUUUGAUUUUUUCCCAUAGGAAUGCAUGGGUUAGGGUUAGGGUUAGGCUUGGAGCUAGGGUUAGGGUUAGGGUUAGGGUUGGAGUUAGGGUUAGUGUUGGAGCUAGGGUUAGGGUUGGGCUUGGAGCUAGGAUUUUUCUGAGUGCACUGAACCAACUCCCGAGUCUCUAGGACAUUCCUAAAAAAAUUUGAUUUUUUUCCCAUAGGAAUGCAUGGGUUAGGGUUAGGGUUAGGGUUAGGGUUGGAGCUAGGGUUAGGGUUAGGGUUAGGGUUGGAGUUAGGGUUAGUGUUGGAGCUAGGGUUAGGGUUGGGCUUGGAGCUAGGAUUUUUCUGAGUGCACUGAACCAACUCCCGAGUCUCUAGGACAUUCCUAAAAAAAUUGAUUUUUUCCCAUAGGAAUGCAUGGGUUAGGGUUAUGGUUAGGGUUAGGGUUGGAGCUAGGGUUAGGGUUAGGGUUAGGGUUGGAGUUAGGGUUAGUGUUGGAGCUAGGGUUAGGGUUGGGCUUGGAGCUAGGAUUUUUCUGAGUGCACUGAACCAACUCCCGAGUCUCUAGGACGUUCCUAAAAAAAAUUUAAUUUUUUCCCAUAGGAAUGCAUGGGUUAGGGUUAGGGUUAGGGUUGGAGCUAGGGUUAGGGUUAGGGUUAGGGUUGGAGUUAGGGUUAGUGUUGGAGCUAGGGUUAGGGUUGGGCUUGGAGCUAGGAUUUUUCUGAGUGCAAUGAACCAACUCCCGAGUCUCUAGGACGUUCCUAAAAAAAUUUGAUUUUUUCCCAUAGGAAUGCAUGGGUUAGGGUUAGGGUUAGGGUUGGAGCUAGGGUUAGGGUUAGGGUUAGGGUUGGAGUUAAGGUUAGUGUUGGAGCUAGGGUUAGGGUUGGGCUUGGAGCUAGGAUUUUUCUGAGUGCACUGAACCAACUCCCGAGUCUCUAGGACGUUCCUAAAAAAAUUUGAUUUUUUCCCAUAGGAAUGCAUGGGUUAGGGUUAUGGUUAGGGUUAGGGUUGGAGCUAGGGUUAGGGUUAGGGUUAGGGUUGGAGUUAGGGUUAGUGUUGGAGCUAGGGUUAGGGUUGGGCUUGGAGCUAGGAUUUUUCUGAGUGCAAUGAACCAACCCCCGAGUCUCUAGGACGUUCCUAAAAAAAUCUGAUUUUUUCCCAUAGGAAUGCAUGGGUUAGGGUUAUGGUUAGGGUUAGGGUUGGAGCUAGGGUUAGGGUUAGGGUUAGGGAUGGAGUUAGGGUUAGUGUUGGAGCUAGGGUUAGGGUUGGGCUUGGAGCUAGGAUUUUUCUGAGUGCAAUGAACCAACUCCCGAGUCUCUAGGACGUUCCUAAAAAAAUUUGAUUUUUUCCCAUAGGAAUGCAUGGAUUAGGGUUAGGGUUAGGGUUGGAGCUAGGGUUAGGGUUAGGGUUAGGGUUGGAGUUAGGGUUAGUGUUGGAGCUAGGGUUAGGGUUGGGCUUGGAGCUAGGAUUUUUCUGAGUGCAAUGAACCAACUCCCGAGUCUCUAGGACGUUCCUAAAAAAAUUUGAUUUUUUCCCAUAGGAAUGCAUGGGUUAGGGUUAGGGUUAGGGUUGGAGCUAGGGUUAGGGUUAGGGUUAGGGUUGGAGUUAGGGUUAGUGUUGGAGCUAGGGUUAGGGUUGGGCUUGGAGCUAGGAUUUUUCUGAGUGCACUGAACCAACUCCCGAGUCUCUAGGACAUUCCUAAAAAAAUUUGAUUUUUUCCCAUAGGAAUGCAUGGGUUAGGGUUAGGGUUAGGGUUGGAGCUAGGGUUAGGGUUAGGGUUAGGGUUGGAGUUAGGGUUAGUGUUGGAGCUAGGGUUAGGGUUGGGCUUGGAGCUAGGAUUUUUCUGAGUGCACUGAACCAACUCCCGAGUCUCUAGGACAUUCCUAAAAAAAUUUGAUUUUUUCCCAUAGGAAUGCAUGGGUUAGGGUUAUGGUUAGGGUUAGGGUUGGAGCUAGGGUUAGGGUUAGGGUUAGGGUUGGAGUUAGGGUUAGUGUUGGAGCUAGGGUUAGGGUUGGGCUUGGAGCUAGGAUUUUUCUGAGUGCACUGAACCAACUCCCGAGUCUCUAGGACAUUCCUAAAAAAAUUUGAUUUUUUCCCAUAGGAAUGCAUGGGUUAGGGUUAGGGUUAGGGUUGGAGCUAGGGUUAGGGUUAGGGUUAGGGUUGGAGUUAGGGUUAGUGUUGGAGCUAGGGUAAGGGUUGGGCUUGGAGCUAGGAUUUUUCUGAGUGCAAUGAACCAACUCCCGAGUCUCUUGGACGUUCCUAAAAAAAUUGAUUUUUUCCCAUAGGAAUGCAUGGGUUAGGGUUAGGGUUAGGGUUGGAGCUAGGGUUAGGGUUAGGGUUUGGGUUGGAGUUAGGGUUAGUGUUGGAGCUAGGGUUAGGGUUGGGCUUGGAGCUAGGAUUUUUCUGAGUGCAAUGAACCAACUCCCGAGUCUCUAGGACGUUCCUAAAAAAAUUUGAUUUUUUCCCAUAGGAAUGCAUGGGUUAGGGUUAGGGUUAGGGUUAGGGUUGGAGCUAGGGUUAGGGUUAGGGUUAGGGUUAGGGUUGGAGUUAGGGUUAGUGUUGGAGCUAGGGUUAGGGUUGGGCUUGGAGCUAGGAUUUUUCUGAGUGCAAUGAACCAACUCCCGAGUCUCUAGGACGUUCCUAAAAAAAUUUGAUUUUUUCCCAUAGGAAUGCAUGGGUUAGGGUUAUGGUUAGGGUUAGGGUUGGAGCUAGGGUUAGGGUUAGGGUUAGGGUUGGAGUUAGGGUUAGUGUUGGAGCUAAGGUUAGGGUUGGGCUUGGAGCUAGGAUUUUUCUGAGUGCAAUGAACCAACUCCCGAGUCUCUAGGACGUUCCUAAAAAAAUUUGAUUUUUUCCCAUAGGAAUGCAUGGGUUAGGGUUAGGGUUAGGGUUGGAGCUAGGGUUAGGGUUAGGGUUAGGGUUGGAGUUAGGGUUAGUGUUGGAGCUAGGGUUAGGGUUGGGCUUGGAGCUAGGAUUUUUCUGAGUGCACUGAACCAACUCCCGAGUCUCUAGGACAUUCCUAAAAAAUUUGAUUUUUUUCCCAUAGGAAUGCAUGGGUUAGGGUUAGGGUUAGGGUUAGGGUUGGAGCUAGGGUUAGGGUUAGGGUUAGGGUUGGAGUUAGGGUUAGUGUUGGAGCUAGGGUUAGGGUUGGGCUUGGAGCUAGGAUUUUUCUGAGUGCACUGAACCAACUCCCGAGUCUCUAGGACAUUCCUAAAAAAAAUUGAUUUUUUCCCAUAGGAAUGCAUGGGUUAGGGUUAUGGUUAGGGUUAGGGUUGGAGCUAGGGUUAGGGUUAGGGUUAGGGUUGGAGUUAGGGUUAGUGUUGGAGCUAGGGUUAGGGUUGGGCUUGGAGCUAGGAUUUUUCUGAGUGCAAUGAACCAACUCCCGAGUCUCUUGGACGUUC
rnacentral:lncRNA from 1 species